rnacentral:rRNA from 1 species
CAGCAGCCGCGGUAAUACGGAGGAUCCAAGCGUUAUCCGGAUUUAUUGGGUUUAAAGGGUGCGUAGGUGGCCUGUUAAGUCAGGGGUGAAAGGCGGUAGCUUAACUAUCGCAGUGCCCUUGAUACUGAUGGGCUUGAAUGAACUAGAGGUAGGCGGAAUGUGACAAGUAGCGGUGAAAUGCAUAGAUAUGUCACAGAACACCAAUUGCGAAGGCAGCUUACUAUGGUUUUAUUGACACUGAGGCACGAAAGCGUGGGGAUCAAACAGGAUUAGAUACCCGCGUAGUCCCUGUCUCUUAUAC